AGAACGAACGCUGGCGGCGUGGAUAAGACAUGCAAGUCGAACGGACUAGCUUGGUAGCAAUAUUAAGCUAGUUAGUGGCGAACGGGUGCGUAACACGUGGGUCACAUUCCGGGAAGUGGGGAAUAGCCCAGGGAAACUUGGAUUAAUGCCCCGUGUGGUCGCAAGACUAAAGGCGCAAGCCGCUUCCUGAUUGGCCCGCGGCCUAUCAGCUUGUUGGUGGGGUAAUGGCCCACCAAGGUUACGACGGGUAGCUGGUCUAAGAGGACGACCAGCCACACUGGAACUGAGACACGGUCCAGACACCUACGGGUGGCAGCAGUCGAGAAUCUUUCACAAUGGGGGAAACCCCUGAUGGAGCGACGCCGCGUGGAGGAUAAGGUCUUCGGAUUGUAAACUCCUGUCAUGCGAGAACAAAGCCUCACGGCCUGAUAGUAUCGCAAGAGGAAGAGACGGCUAACUCUGUGCCAGCAGCCGC
rnacentral:rRNA from 1 species